rnacentral:rRNA from 1 species
AGUGAACGCUGGCGGUAGGCCUAAUACAUGCAAGUCGAACGGCAGCACAGUAAGCGUUCGCCUUUACGGGUGGCGAGUGGCGGAUGGGUGAGGCAUACAUCGGCAUCUACUUUUUCGUGGGGGAUAACGUAGGGAAACUUAUGCUACUAGAGCAUACGAUAUACGGGUGAAAGCAGGGGAUCUUCGGACUUUGCGUGAUUGGAUGAGCCGAUGUCGGAUUAGCUAGUUGGGGAGGUAAAGGCCCACCAAGGCGACGAUCCGUAGCUGGUCUGAGAGGAUGAUCAGCCACACUGGAACUGAGACACGGUCCAGACUCCUACGGGAGGCAGCAGUAGGGAAUAUUGGGCAAUGGGCGCAAGCCUGAUCCAGCCAUACCGCGUGAGUGAAGAAGGCCUUCGGAUUGUAAAGCCCUUUUAUUAGGGAAGAAAAACAGCAUAUGAAUACCCCGCUGUUCUGACGGUACCCAAAGAGUAAGCACCGGCUAACUUCGUG